rnacentral:rRNA from 1 species
AUGGAGCCGUCGCAGAGAAGCGAGGGCGCCAGCAUCAAGAAGCCCAGGACCCCGCCGGCGCCGCCCGGGGCCUACACCGGCGCCGAGCUCCUCGGGGAAAUACUCCGUCGCCUCCCCGACAUGGCGUCACUCGCCAGCGCCGCCCUCGUCUGCAAGCGCUGGGGCCGCAUCGCUUCCGACCCCGCCGUCUUCCGCCGCUUCAGCUCCCUCCGCAGGCCCCCGCUCGUCGGCGUCAUCCUCACCGACCUUGGCCGCGAGCGCUUCCCCCUCCACAACCCUGCUCUCCGCUUCAUUGCGGCACACUCGCGUCACCCCGAGCAGGACCUCGCCGCAGCAUUCGGCGAUUUCUACUUCCAACGCCACCCCGAGAUUAAAGCUGCCGACGAGUGGCGCCUCCGUGGCUGCGACGGUGGCCUCCUCCUCCUCUCCUGCGGCCGCUAUGCGUCGAAGCUCGCCGUCUACGACCCUCUCGAGUGUACUGCCAUCUUCUUCCAGCCACCCGAGCGCUGGCACACCGGCCGGUACGCCAUCGUCGCCGACGAGGCCGACGCCUCCUUCCAGGUCAUCGGCAUAGAUCUCUGGGUCGAAGAAACCUUUGCCGUCUUCUCCUCCCGCACCGGCAAAUGGGUCGUGCUUGACUCAUCGUUUCCAUACUGGGGAUUCGCGUGGCCUCGCAGCGACGAGAAGAUAUAUGUGCUUGACACGAAAACCAUGGUGUGGUCGGUUAUAACCGCGCCGUUCCCGGUUGGCGAGUCGUACUGCGUGGCGGACAUGGCGGAGCACGGCGGGCUGUGCAUCGUGUCCAGCAGGGAGCAAAGCGUGCUGCUCUGGGUCCGUGAUAUCAAUGGUGGAUGGGUGGUCAAGAAGGAGGUCUCCUUGCUGAAUCAGUUUGGGUACUUAAAGAGAAUUCGUCGUGACGAAUGGAUGAAGAGGCUGCGCAUCCUCGCAAUGAAGGCUGGCUAUGUCUACAUGGAGUUUUGGUCCAUAAGGAAGUCUGAAUCCUAUAUUCUUGUGCUCAAUCUGAACACCGUCAAGCUGCAACAAUUCUUUCGCAACAUUACGGCUAAGCGCUACAGGGGUGCUGCUUUUCCAUUCUUCUUGAGGUUUCACCACUGCUUGCCACAUAUGAUGAUAAGGAAGUUCAAGAUGCUUGAUAGCAUGGAGUAG